rnacentral:lncRNA from 1 species
GUCCCCCUUUGUCAGAGGGUGGUAAAUGUCACUCCACCACAUCACAGAAGACGUCUUAUCCACCAGAUAAAAGGAUUCCAUCUAACAGAACAGUGAUCCUUCAAUCCUUAGACCACUCCAGCCAGAGGCCCAGACAAUGCCUGAGGCAGAGAAAAAUCCCCAGAGACACGGUGCUGAUGUGUCCUGUUAUGGUGAAGGUUCAGCUCUUCCUAAUCAUGAACACUGCAGAAUGGUGAGAUUUUGCUUCAGAGCUGGGAGAGACAAAUACCAAGGACAUAUCGGGAGGAAUAUUGUCCACAGCAAAUACCAAGGACACAUCAGGAAGGAUGUUGCGGAGAGAGAGGACAGUGCUAGGACUGUCUUUUUCUAUAUCAGACACGUGGGAUCCUGCUGUGCCUUCCUGGAAACCGAGGCCAAGAAUGGAGCAGACCAAGAGGAUGCCAGGAAAAAUCACAAAGAAGCCCAGAAAGCACAGCUGGAAGCCAAGAACCUUAUUUUUGGUUUGUGUGGGUGGAAGAUGAGGGACAAUAUAUAGUGAACAAUAGGAUUCUUCAUUUGAAAGACAGUGGAGCACAUCAGACCUGUGUAUUUGGGUGAAGUAUGAUAAACUGAACAUCAAAGACUAUGGAAAGGAACAUGACCUAGUUUAU